ensembl:lncRNA
GUUGUGUGUUUGGUAUUCAAAUAGAUCCCCUUUUGAUGAGUAAGCAAUAGCCCCACCCCUUUAAGAGAAGGGCUAAACUCAUAUGUGCAUAUUCUUAGUUGAGCAGGUUGCAAAGCAGCAAGUUGAUCUCUAACUUGCUCCCACUAAUAGCUGGAAUACUACAGACAGAUUGUAAACACACAACUUUCACAGCAGGGGUGUGCUAUUGCUGCUUUUACUCUGCCAUAGGAGUUGGCACAAGAUAAACAGUUUCUUCUGCAGGUAUCAACUGCGAUCAAGAUGGGCAAUGAGCAUUCUAAAAACAAGGCUGAGCAGGCUCCAGAAAAGCCCCUGCAUGGAGGAUUGAAUGGCCAUGCUGUAAGCAUCUCAUCCAAUGGCCUGGAGAAUGUUAUCAGUGAAGCAGCUGUGGAGCAGAACAGUAUGCCUCCCUCACUGCCUCCCUCUGAAGAGUCAGGUAUAGUGGAGGCAGAUGGCAGUGGUCUUGGGCCUGUGGUGGUGGAACAGAAGUCUGCCAUCAAGGAGGUUCCAGAAGUGGAACCAGAGACACAGAAUGCUAAGACUCAAAACACACCGGAACCAGAACUGGAACCAGCCACCCAAGAGAAGGAGGAGCCCAAGAACAGUACGAAAGAAAAAGUGAACAUCUUUGAAAAUCUGUUCAAGAAGAAAGCUAAGCCUCAACCCACCCCCAACCCGGAUCCAGCCCUGGAAAAGGAGGAAACCAUAAAGGACAAGAUUGUGGAGGAGAUUGAAAGUUCUGCAGAAGAUCAGAAAGUCCCUGUGGCUGUGACCGAUGGGAUCCAAGCUGAGCCACUUGCUGAGGUAAAGGAGGAUACAGAGACUUCAAAGGAGCGUCCCAACCCUAGUCCAGAGGCAGAGGAGGUCAAAAGCCCCAAAAUUGCAGAGGAAAGCAGUCACAUUCAGGAAAACCAAGAGGGAGAGAGUCAAACAGAAGAGAAUCCAGUUAUGAACUUCUUCAAAACACUAGUGACUCCCACAAAAAAAAACAAGCAAGAAACAGCCACCCCUGCUGUUGCAAAAGACCAGAAAGAGGCCCAACCAACAACAACAACUACUGCUGCACAACUAGUGGAUGCUCCAGCAACAGCCAAAGGAGGAAUGUCAAUCCCACCAGCCCCAGCCCCAGCCCCAUCCCCAGCCCCAGCCCCAGCCCCAGCCCCAGCCCCAGCCCCAGCCCCAUCCCCAGCCCCAGCCCCAGCCCCAGCCCCAGCCCCAGCCCUAGGCUCAUGUAAGAUGGAGGUUAAAGCAGAACUAGCUGCCCAAUCUGUGACCAACACACCAAACGAAGAACCAAAGGGUGCUGCCAAAGAACCAGAGGCCGCCAAGCCGAAAUCUGACCGCCCGUUCAGCAGACUUUUCAGCAGAAAGACAGUGGAACCAGUGGAGCCACAGCCGGUUGUGGAAGUACAGACAGUGGAACCAGUGGAGCCACAACCGGUUGUGGAAGUACAGGUAAAAGGAGAGAACUCUUGGCAUACUCCAUCCUCACGUGCCAUCUUUGUCUCUUUCUGUUGGGUUGCAUGGUGAAAAUGGGUGUUCAUGCUAUCAGUUACAGAGGAGGCUGGUGGGAGGAGCUAUAAGAUGACAGGCUUAUUGUAAUGCCUGGAAUGGAAUAAAUGGAAUGGAGUAAAAUAUGUUGUUUGCAUGUGUUUGUGUUUGGUACCAUUCCAGGGACUCCAUUCCAUCAAUUACAAUGAGCACAUCCUCCUAUAGCUUCUCUCACCAGCUUCCUCUGAUCAGUUACAAGUUGUUUCAUUCAUCUCAGCAAUAAAGUGGUGCUAAGGGGCAAAUCACAUAAUAUCUAUUUUACAGUACCAGUUUUGGUACCUGAGUAGAGAUUUUUAUCACCCUCUUAUCUCUUUCUUUCUUAUCUGUUUUAGUGGGUUAUUUUCUGGUUCUUCCAGGUGGUGGACUCUUGUGGGCUCUUAGACCUUCCUUAAUUAAUCCUGACAAUGGUUUAUAAUUAAGUUUUCUCUUUUGCUGUUUCGGUAAAGAAUGUAGACUUCUCAAAGACGGCCACUCUGGAGGCCUCUGCCACACUAGAACCACCACCACCAGAGGAAGAGAAGACACCUGCUGCCUCCAAAGCCUCUCCUUUCACUUCCUUUUCUCUUUUCAAGACAAAGGCAGCUGUGCCAAAAAAGGAAGUCCCUGCCCUAGCUGCAGAAGCGGUAGUUGAACCAAGUGUAGCCAAGGACGAACCAAAGGCCCCAGAGGACCCUGCUGUGGACAGCAAGCCCGUGUCAGAGCCCUCCGAGGUUAUGGAGAAUUCCCCCGUCCUCCCUAAGAGACUGGAGAAGAGGAACUCCAUCCACUUGUUCUUCAAAAACCUGGGCAAACGCCAGUCAGAUGCAGGAGUACAAACAGAACCAGAGAAGACCAAAUAAAACAGAAACACCCUUUCAAACAUCACAUGCCAUAUCUGGAAAUGAACUUUUGAUUUGUUAGAUACAUUAUGUUUCUGAUCACACUAUUGAUGUGGUAAGAGCAAGUGGUUUGAGGGAGAGAGGUGGACUGUGGACUAGUCUGUUCUAGUCUAAUCUUUGUGGACAAUUUCAGAGAAUUGUUCUUUGUGGAGGAGGUAAAUAUAUUUUCUGGUUUUAAAGGCUUGAUAGGUAGAGAAAAGUGGUUUUGUAACAUAUACUGAGAGCAAAAUCAAUUUUCUAUACAGUAUGUACCCUUCUUUUAACAUACAUGUCAAACUCAUUCCACGGAGGGCUGAGUGUCUGCUGGUUUUUGUUCCUCCCUUGAUUGAUUAAUUAAGGUCACUAAUUAGUAAAGAACUCCCCUCACCUGGUUGUCUAAGGUCUUAAAAACGAAACACUCGCAGACACUAAGCCCUUCAUGGAAUGAGUUUGACAUCCCUGCUUUAACAUAUUAAUGUGUAAGGAUCUAAUGCAAAUAUUACGUUUAGCAUAUUUUUUUCCCUCUAUACGCAAUUUACUAGUCUGAAAAUAACUUGUGGAGUGCAUACAAUGGUUUCAGAUACAUUCAUAGGACGUCUUGGAGAAGAGAUGCAUAAAGCUUAGCUUGGAAUAGAGAGAUAGUAAUGGAAUAUACUCCAAAUGUAAUGGAGGAGUUGGUGAAAUGGUGGAUAUUCCUGCCAAGAUGUUUUUAUUUAGGCUAGACACAUGCAACUUACAAUGUAGGCUUUAAACUUUGCAGGAACUGUACACGGAUGCAAAUAUAUGCCAAACACUAAAUUACAAUAUAUGAUUAUAAUCAUACACAGGGGGACCUCACAAUCAUUACUUUUUUUGGGAACUACACAGAUCAUCUGGUAGUCUAUAUAGCUAACUGCACAGUCAUGAAUCAUAUUUGAUUAACGUUUCACUGAAGUAUAAAGGUUUGUUCUAAUUUGAGUGCACUGCUUUACAUGUGUGUGCCUGUUUGAAUGCAGAUGUUAUAAUCUUGGGUAUCUUGUCUGUUAAUUUCUGCACCUAUAAUUUGAUAAACUGGAUCUGGAAGUAGAAUAUUUAUUGUGACAGCAAUUUCCGAAUCAUGACAACCUGCAAUGGGGUAUAUGGGGGGGUUCUACUGAGCUAACAUGGAUUUUUUUUUAAAGAUCAUACCAUGGAUCCUUUAGCUAUUUAAUUUUUCAUUGGGGUAAAAUAUUGAAUUUGGCCUUUUAAUGCUACAACCUAUAGAAAUGCAUUGAAUAACACACUCAUAAAUGGCAAAACAGAGUACAAAAAUAAAUAAUAAGGAAUAUGUUUUUGAAUUGUCUGUCCUACAUCUAGGAGAUGUAAUAAAGUUCAGGAUUUACACAUUUAACCCAUUUUUUGGGGUGUCACAAAACUACUUCUAUAUUUGUUUUUAUGUUAAUUAGAUUGACGCACGGGUGCGUUGAUCAACUUUAGGGGUAUUUAAAGCUAUUUUUUUCUGUAACUGUUAAGAGAAUAAAUGUAUACAAUUAUAUGUUUUCUUGUUUUCUAUCUCACAAUUUAGGCCAAAAGCUAUCAGUAUAGGGAAAUAUGAAAACAUAUUUAGACUGGAAUUAAAUGUCCCUGUAAUAUAUUGAUUUAAUGUUAUCAAGCAGGACUAUCAAGUGCUGCAAUACCUGAAAAAGACAUGACCCAACAAGUUUAUCAACACAUCUUGUAUUCCCGAAGUAGGGAGCCAAGCUGUCUCAGC